CCGUCGAUAGCUCAGUUGGCAGAGCGGUGGACUGUAGGAGUUGGAAAUGCUGACAUCCAUAGGUCGCUGGUUCGACUCCGGCUCGACGGA
rnacentral:tRNA from 1 species